CCCAGGCAUGGUGGCACAUGCCUGUAAUCCCAGCUACUCCGCAGGCUGAGGCAGGAGAAUCGCUUGAACCUGGGAGGCGGAGGUUGCAUUGGGCCAAGAUUGUGCCAUUGCACUCCAGCCUGGGAAACUCUGUCUCAAAAGAAAAGAAAAUACUGGGUUCCCUCCGGGCACGGUGGUGCGUGCCUGUAGUCCCAGCUACUUGGGAGGCUGAGGUGGGAGGAUCGCUUGAGCCCAGAAAUGGAGCAGGUCAAAACUCCCGUAUUGACCAGUAGUGGGAUUGCGCCUAUGAAUAGCCACUGCACUCCAGCCUGGGCAAUAUAGCGAGACCCCUGUCUCU
rnacentral:sRNA from 1 species